rnacentral:pre_miRNA from 1 species
GUAUAAGUGGCAGGAGGAUUUUGUUAAAAUUCAGAUUUCAAUUUAGUAGUUCUGGGGAGGGGCUGGAGAUUCUGUGUUUUUAACAAGCUCCUAGGUAACCCUGUU